rnacentral:rRNA from 1 species
GAUGAACGCUGGCGGCGUGCCUAAUACAUGCAAGUCGAGCGAACGGACGAGAAGCUUGCUUCUCUGAUGUUAGCGGCGGACGGGUGAGUAACACGUGGAUAACCUACCUAUAAGACUGGGAUAACUUCGGGAAGCCGGAGCUAAUACCGGAUAAUGUUUUGAACCGCAUGGUUCAAAAGUGAAAGACGGUCUUGCUGUCACUUAUAGAUGGAUCCGCGCUGCAUUAGCUAGUUGGUAAGGUAACGGCUUACCAAGGCAACGAUGCAUAGCCGACCUGAGAGGGUGAUCGGCCACACUGGAACUGAGACACGGUCCAGACUCCUACGGGAGGCAGCAGUAGGGAAUCUUCCGCAAUGGGCGAAAGCCUGACGGAGCAACGCCGCGUGAGUGAUGAAGGUCUUCGGACCGUAAAACUCUGUUAUUAGGGAAGAACAUAUGUGUAAGUAACUGUGCACAUCUUGACGGUACCUAAUCAGAAAGCCACGGCUAACUACGUG